CCCGCACAAGCGGUGGAGCAUGUGGUUUAAUUCGAUGCAACGCGAAGAACCUUACCAGGUCUUGACAUCCAGAGAAUCUCCAGGAAACUGGGGAGUGCUUUCGAGAGCUCUGAGACAGGUGGUGCAUGGUUGUCGUCAGCUCGUGUCGUGAGAUGUUGGGUUAAGUCCCGCAACGAGCGCAACCCUUGCUAUUAGUUGCUAACAGUUAGAUGAGCACUCUAAUGGGACUGCCCGUGACAAGCGGGAGGAAGGUGGGGAUGACGUCAAAUCAUCAUGCCCUUUAUGAUCUGGGCUACACACGUGCUACAAUGGAUGGUACAGAGAGCAGCGAGACUGUGAAGUGGAGCGAAUCUCAAAAAGCCAUUCUCAGUUCGGAUUGCAGUCUGCAACUCGACUGCAUGAAGUCGGAAUCGCUAGUAAUCGCGAAUCAGCACGUCGCGGUGAAUGCGUUCCCGGGCCUUGUACACACCGCCCGUCACACCACGAAAGUCGGCAACACCCGAAGCCGGUGACUUAACUCGCAAGAGAGAGAGCCGUCGAAGGUGGGGUUGGUGAUUGGGGUG
rnacentral:rRNA from 1 species